rnacentral:tRNA from 1 species
GCGAAAGUGGUGGAAUUUGGUAGACACGCUAGAUUUAGGAUCUAGUGCACCAUAAGCAUAAGGGUUCAAAUCCCUUCUUUCGCA